rnacentral:rRNA from 1 species
CCUCAAAUCAGGUAGGAUUACCCGCUGAACUUAAGCAUAUCAAUAAGCGGAGGA